UCGAACGAGAAAGGGGAGCAAUCCCUGAGUACAGUGGCGACCGGGUGAGUAACACGUGACUACCUACCUUCGAGUGGGGGAUAACUCCGGGAAACCGGAGCUAAUACCGCAUAACAUCGCAGGAUCAAAGCAGCAAUGCGCUUGAAGAGGGGGUCGCGGCUGAUUAGCUAGUUGGUGAGGUAAUGGCUCACCAAGGCAAAGAUCGGUAUCCGGCCUGAGAGGGCGCACGGACACACUGGAACUGAAACACGGUCCAGACUCCUACGGGAGGCAGCAGUGGGGAAUUUUGCGCAAUGGGGGAAACCCUGACGCAGCAACGCCGCGUGGAGGAUGAAGGCCCUUGGGUCGUAAACUCCUUUCGACCGGGAAGAUGAUGACGGUACCGGUGGAAGAAGCACCGGCUAACUCUGUGCCAGCAGCCGCGGUAAUACAGAGGGUGCAAGCGUUGUUCGGAAUUAUUGGGCGUAAAGGGCGCGUAGGCGGUGCGGUAAGUCACCUGUGAAACCUCUGGGCUUAACUCAGAGCCUGCAGGCGAAACUGCCGUGCUGGAGUAUGGGAGAGGUGCGUGGAAUUCCCGGUGUAGCGGUGAAAUGCGUAGAUAUCGGGAGGAACACCUGUGGCGAAAGCGGCGCACUGGACCAUAACUGACGCUGAGGCGCGAAAGCUAGGGGAGCAAACAGGAUUAGAUACCCUGGUAGUCCUAGCCCUAAACGAUGAUUGCUUGGUGUGGCGGGUACCCAAUCCCGUCGUGCCGCAGCUAACGCGAUAAGCAAUCCGCCUGGGGAGUACGGUCGCAAGGCUGA
rnacentral:rRNA from 1 species